rnacentral:pre_miRNA from 1 species
CUUCUCCAUCUGUUCUUCGUCAGCUUUGAUUAGUGCAGUUUGAGAGUUCCAAAGGGAUCGCAUUGAUCUAAUCAUGAUGAUGAUAUAUAUAUCUAUAUAUCUUCCACCAGUUAGUUAAUUGUUAGAUCAUGCGAUCCCUUUCGAAUUCUCCAUCUCUGCCUCUAAACUACAUACCCAGCUAAGAAGCUAGCUAGCAGCAGAUUAUAUACUGGUAAAG